GACGAACGCUGGCGGCGUGCUUAACACAUGCAAGUCGAACGGAAAGGCCCUGCUUUUGUGGGGUGCUCGAGUGGCGAACGGGUGAGUAACACGUGAGUAACCUGCCCUUGACUUUGGGAUAACUUCAGGAAACUGGGGCUAAUACCGGAUAGGAGCUCCUGCUGCAUGGUGGGGGUUGGAAAGUUUCGGCGGUUGGGGAUGGACUCGCGGCUUAUCAGCUUGUUGGUGGGGUAGUGGCUUACCAAGGCUUUGACGGGUAGCCGGCCUGAGAGGGUCACCGGCCACAUUGGGACUGAGAUACGGCCCAGACUCCUACGGGAGGCAGCAGUGGGGAAUAUUGCACAGUGGGCGGAAGCCUGAUGCAGCAACGCCGCGUGCGGGAUGACGGCCUUCGGGUUGUAAACCGCUUUCGCCUGUGACGAAGCGUGAGUGACGGUAAUGGGUAAAGAAGCACCGGCUAACUACGUG
rnacentral:rRNA from 1 species